UGGCCCUGACCGAUACUUGGGCGGGUGAGUGCGGGGUCCAGAGAGAAACGGCCUCUGUGGGGAGGAGUGAGGGGCCCGCCCGGUGGGGGCGCAGGACUCAGGGAGCCGCGCCCGGAGGAGGGUCUGGCGGGUCUCAGCCCCUCCUCGCCCCCAGGCUCCCACUCCUUGAGGUAUUUCAGCACCGCUGUGUCGCGGCCCGGCCGCGGGGAGCCCCGCUACAUCGCCGUGGAGUACGUAGACGACACGCAAUUCCUGCGGUUCGACAGCGACGCCGCGAUUCCGAGGAUGGAGCCGCGGGAGCCGUGGGUGGAGCAAGAGGGGCCGCAGUAUUGGGAGUGGACCACAGGGUACGCCAAGGCCAACGCACAGACUGACCGAGUGGCCCUGAGGAACCUGCUCCGCCGCUACAACCAGAGCGAGGCUGGGAAUGAAUGGCUGCGACAUGGGGCCCGACGGACGCCUCCUCCGCGGGUAUCACCAGCACGCGUACGACGGCAAGGAUUACAUCUCCCUGAACGAGGACCUGCGCUCCUGGACCGCGGCGGACACCGUGGCUCAGAUCACCCAGCGCUUCUAUGAGGCAGAGG
rnacentral:misc_RNA from 1 species